rnacentral:misc_RNA from 1 species
AAAUCGCCGCCGACGGAGACGUUAUGCGAGUCCUCCGCCAAAAAAUCCGCCGACUGGCCCCCGCCGCCGUCCUCCAGUAGCAUCUGGCGCUCCCGCUGGUCGAGAUCGGAGGCGAGAGCGGCGAGGUCGAGCUCGGAAAAGAACGCCCCCUGCAGGACCGUGUUGACGCAGUGGACGGCGCAGAGCUUCGACUCUUGCACCUCGUGGUACAGCAGCCCGCCGUUACUCGGCGCUCCCUCCAUCGCCGGAACUGAGUUUUGGAAUCGCCGCCGUGAGAGU